rnacentral:rRNA from 1 species
AACGAACGCUGGCGGCAGGCUUAACACAUGCAAGUCGAACGCAUCGCAAGAUGAGUGGCAGACGGGUGAGUAACGCGUGGGAAUCUACCUAGUUCUACGGAACAACAGUUGGAAACGACUGCUAAUACCGUAUACGCCCUACGGGGGAAAGAUUUAUCGGAAUUAGAUGAGCCCGCGUAAGAUUAGCUAGUUGGUGGGGUAAAGGCCUACCAAGGCGACGAUCUUUAGCUGGUCUGAGAGGAUGAUCAGCCACACUGGGACUGAGACACGGCCCAGACUCCUACGGGAGGCAGCAGUGGGGAAUAUUGGACAAUGGGCGCAAGCCUGAUCCAGCCAUGCCGCGUGAGUGAUGAAGGCCUUAGGGUUGUAAAGCUCUUUCACCGAUGAAGAUAAUGACGGUAGUCGGAGAAGAAGCCCCGGCUAACUUCGUGCCAGCAGCCGCCGUAACAC